rnacentral:lncRNA from 1 species
UCCUGCUCCAUCCAGAACCAUAAGCUAUUUAUAGAUCAGCCCUUUGGUGUAAGUUUUUGUUUGAAAAAAUGUUUUCCACAGCUGAAGAAAAAAAAUAAACCACUGAACUAGAUGAUCUCAGGUUUGUACCAGUUGUGGUUCUAUAGUCUUUACUUCUUCCUUAGGAUUCCUUAGUGGGAAGAGAUACUUUGUUUUUUGUUUUGUUUUGUUUUUGAGACAGGGUCUCACUCUGUUACCCAGGCUGGAGUCAAUGCAGCCUCGACCUUCUGGGUUCUAGUGAUCCUCCUGCCUCAGCCUCCUGAGUAGCUGGGACUGCAGGUAUGCACCAUCACACCUGGCUAAUUUUUAAAUUUUUUUGUUUUGAGGGGGUCUCACUUUGUUCAAGUGGUCUUGAACUCCUGGGAUCAAGCAAUGCUCCCACCUUGGCCUCUAAAAGUGUUAUAGGAUUACAGACGUGAACCACCAUGCUCAGCCAGAAAGAGAUAUUCUGAAUUAUUUGCAGGAAGCUGUUAUGGAACUACAGGUAAAAUGCUACUCACCAAUGCUGCCUUAAUGAAAAGCUCUUCCAAUUGUCACUAUGGCUUUCUUUUUCCCCACCAUAGUCUUCCUCUGUGGUCAUCUGAAGACAUCUUACUGCUUUUAGGAAAGAAUAGUAAGUCCUGACAAGUCUUAGACCUUAGAUAGAUGGUAGUUCUAUUUUUAAUUUUUUGUGGAAUUUCUAUAAAGUAAAAGUCAAUGAAAACAGAGAAAAUUCCCUACUCUACUAUAGCAAGAUGCCCAUCAGCAGAAAAGGACAGUGUAGAAGCAGAUUGACACUGAAUUAUGGUCACCCUUGCUCAAGUAAACAAAUUAAUAUCCCCAAGGACAUCCAUAAGGCUUCCCUCUCAACAUCUGAGGGCUGGAUUUGCUCUCUGCUGUCCACCACAGACUAUAUUCAACUGCUGGAACCUUGUCUGGUGCUGAAUAGCCCAAGGACAGGGACGCUGCUUCAGAGACACCCACGGUCACAGUUGCACCAGCCAAAUCUGUUUUUGUGCCCGUGUCUUCUCGGAGAACAGAGCAGCAUAUGGACGGCUUGGGCUCCCUGCCAUCUGUCAAGAGUGGGCAGGACAGCACGUGCAAUCCCAAUCUGCACCAAUGCUUGGUAGAUAACACUUUCCACAGGGAAAGGUCUGCUGGCCUCAGAUAAGAACAGCUUUCAAAUGGGGACUAUGAAAAACUGUACAACAGUCACAACUCGGUUCCACUCCUCUCAGAUCUACCUAAAGCUCUCAUAGUCAUAACCUAUAUGACUUUGAGGGAAGAAAAUCCUGACCCAUUGCUCAGUUGGUAUGGAGCUUGAACAUUCACUCACAUGCUAUAAUAUCAUGAUCAUCAGUAUCAUUAUAAACAACAGCAUUUACUGAACUGCUACCCUGGAACUCUUCCCUUUAGCUUCUAAGAACAUGCACAAUGUAAUAUCUUCACCAAUGAGACACAGACCUCAGAGUCUGUGCUUGCAACCAUUAGGCUUCACCGCCUCCUACCUAAUCUAGGAGCUGAUGUUUGUAGAAGGGUGUGGGGAAUGAGCUGAUCGUUGUAGCAGGGAUGUGCAUGGAGGAGAGGGUGGAAAGGGUAGGAAGAAACAGCAUAGAGAAUGCAUCAGGAUGUUCCAUGUUGCACAUACACUAUACAGACAGUUCCUGAUUUAUGAUGGUUUGGUGUAGGAUUUUUUUGACUUUACGAUGGUGCAAAAGCAAUACACAUUUAAUAAAAACUGUACCUUGAGUACCCAUACAAUUAUUCUGUUUUUCACUUUUGGUACAAUACUCAGCAGAUUACAUGAGCUAGUCAGCACUUCAUUACAAAAUAGGCUUUGUGUUAGAUCAUUUUGCUCAGCUGUGGGCUAAUGUAAAUGGUCUGAGCACAUUUAAGUAGGUUAGGUGAAGGCUAAGCUACGGUGUUUGGUAAGUUAGCUGUACUAAAUGCAUUUUUGAAUUAAUGAUAUUUUCAAUUUACAAUAGGUUUAUUGGGAAAUAAACCCGUCAUAAGUUGAGAAGCAUCUUUACUAAAUUUCCCAGAAAGCAAAUGCGGUGUUUGUUAUAGAAGGCAGGGAUUUGCAUUAGGGGCUGAGGACCCUGCAGACGGCAGUCAGCAGCAUUCCAGCUCUCGCACCCAUGGGUUACAAAGGGAAAGCACUGGACGUGAGUCUAAGAGUGAUGGCUAAAGUCCAAGGAGGCCAAUAUCCAUUUCUCAGUCAGUUUGUUGUUACCUAUGUGUUCUCAUUUCUGGAGGAGUCAGCUACAAUAUUACUGUAUAUGUUAUAUAAUAUUUGACAUCAUUUUAUAGAGUAAUGAUCUACACUAGAAUUUAUAAAUGUGAGGGUUUGUGAAGUCACUAGGCAUGUACUGAGUAAACACCAAAGAGCUGCUCUAUUCAACCAUCAUUUGCUAUCAAGUAAAUUUCAGUAUAAGUAAGAGAAGACUGGCUCUGACAAUUGUGAGGCAUACGUUGGAUGAUUUUUUAAUGCAGCAUUAUAGAUAUGUAAGGCUAUGUAGUAAAUACUCUGCUAGAGCGAUAAUGAUCAUUUUAAAUUUGCUUAUAUUGUGAAAAUUGUGUAUAUGGGAGAGUCAGUACCUAGGGGAAAAGGAAAAAUUUCAGAAAAAAAACUAAAAUAAGCACGUUUUUCUUUAUAUAUUGUGGAUAUGAAAGGGUAGUGGUGGUGGUGAAGACUGUAGAAAGGAGAUAAAGAAAAGGAAACCAGGUUCAAGGAGCCGCUGUACCCCACUCCUUGGCUCUCCCUCCUUCAUAAUCAUCAGCAGUUGUACUAAAAAGAAAGGAAUCAGUUUUACAAGUUUCCUUAAAUCUGACAAUGAACUAGAGGAUCUUAUAUAGAAGGAAGUGCUAGGAUAACAUUCUGAAGAAUCAAGAUUGCUUGCAUAUUUGCAUUUCUUUGGUUCUUGCAAUCAUCUCUCUAUUCAAGCUGAGCUGUGAAAUACACCAUACCUGUUAUUACUGGGCUAGUGGACCAAAUAUGCUUUGCUGUUGUUAUUCCAAUAUCGUGUCUGUUGCUAUGAAAAUGAAGCCAUCCAGACUAAGAUUUCAAGUACGUAAACUGAACACGGUAGAAGCCAGCACACAGAAUAAUUCUAAUUUUGAAUGAGUAUAUGCCAAAUAAGUCAUUUAACCUUUGAGUCUCAGUUUCUUCUGUGAAAUAAAAAUACUGUGCUAGACGUUUUCCAGGCUGUUUUUAACAUAUAAAAGUUAGGUGAGAAGAGAUAGAAACCAACAAACAAUGAACCAAACACAGACAUCAAAGGGGGAAAAAAAUGCCAUUCAGGGAAGUGAAUCACAGAACUUUGGAUUCAGGAACUAGAGGUCCCUGGAAAAGCCAUUAAAUAUGUUUCUGGAGAUUUUCCCCCUAAGUUUUCUCUGAAAGAAUGGUUUCUACCUGUGUUAUGGGUUGUUCCAGGGACUGGCAUUCUGAGCAAAGACUACCCUUCCUGGGGAUCGUGGGCAGGAAGAGAAAGUGGAAGGAGGGCAACCAAGAAGUUGAAUGUGACGAUAGACCAUAGAUCUUAGUGAUGAGGUCUUGAACUAGGGUGGCUGGAGGCAGAGACUGGAAAGAAGGGGGCAGAUGGAAGAAAUAUUGUGAAGCUGAAGUUGGAAGAAAGACAAAGCUCAUGAAAGAUGUUGCAAGCACUAGAGAUGCGUAGCUUAGGAACCUGUACACAGGGCAGCCUACCAGCACGGAUCUACACAGGCUUCUCAAGAGAUACACACAGUCUAUCGGAAAAGUGACAGAAAAAAGAAUUUGGAUGCUUUGUGACAUGCACAGUCCAAUGAGAAUUUUGUCAAAAUAACAUUAAUACCAUGUCAAGAAGACGCCUGGAUAUAGGUAAGUUGAUCAACAAGAAAGAUUGGUCAAAUGGCUUUGACCUUUUUCUGGCGCUUAGUUUCAUAGGCAUUUUGGGUAAUUUUAAUCUCCUUUGUAGGCACUUGAGAAACACUUGAAAUUCACACACUUCGAAUCCUUACCUUUGUUUGAAGGUACCUAUGGGCAAAUUUGUAACCCUUAGCAGGCAAGGGAACUUGAUACCAUCUACUGACAUUUCAAAAUUUUCAAGUGCAAGGGUAGCAGUCCUUUAGUUCACUAAAAAUGCAGAAUGCAUCACAAACAAAGCGUAUAGAUUCCUGGUGAGUUUAACUGGGAGAUAAAACUGAAAGUUAGGUUGAGGCUAGUGAAUGACUUUACAUUUUGGAUUUAUUGGAUUGGUAAGAGGGAGCUACGGAUGAUUUUUGCCCAAGGAGGUCCCAGAGCCAUAGUACUACUUUAACAAGCUAAUAUGGCAGUGGUGGAAAAAUCCAGUGGUCAAGGUAGAAUUCUUGAGUCAUGCUAUAAACAGGAACUGCCUGAAAUGUGCUAGGUAUUAAGGUGAUAAGUUGUAAUAGCUACAAGUGAUUGCAUGUUAUCACAAGCCAGGCACUGUGCUAAGUAAAGUGCUUCAUCUAUGUUAUUUCACUUAAUCUUGAUAGCAGUUCUACAAUAUUAUCACUAGCAUUUUAUGAAAAAGUAAAUGGAAGCUCAGUAAAUGUGGUCCAAGGCCACACAGCAGCUAGUAAGUGACAAAGCCAUGGCUGAACUUCAAAUCUGUGCUCUCAGCCUGUAAGCUAAGAAAGGGACAAAGAUAAGAAAGAGUGAACACAUAGCACUGUGAAACAGAGGCGCAGUUAGAUACAACUGCCUGGGAGACUACAGUCAUCUCCCAGAUGGAUUUUCUGCAGGAUGUUAUAGACCUGAGAAAUGAAAUCUUCCUUUCCACAUCAAACACCUUGAAUGUAAAAAAGCAUUUUAAAAAUUCACUGGGCCCGGACACAGUGGCUCAUGCCUGUAAUCCUA